rnacentral:lncRNA from 1 species
CGACCUUGUCCCUGCUAAAAGCCUCGUCUCUGAAGGCCGCCUGCGGAAGAAGGAGCCCAGCGCGGAGGGCUGGGAUGGAAGAAGAAUUUGUGGGUGGCAGCAGUCUACACCCGUCUCUGUGAAGAAAUGAUCUCUGAUUAUUUCUUUGGGAAAAGUACCGAGUCCUGGAGCCGGGUGCUCAGCCCUGGGCCCCGCAGCCAAGGCUUGGAAAGCCCCGGGGUGGAGAGCUGCCGGUUUAAGCUUCUGGAAGUGCACAAGCGGUUUUACUCUGGGUAAGGAUAUGGGUCGUCGCACACGUGUCUGGGUCACUUGGGAGCAAGCACGGGGUUAACGGGCCUGCGCCUUCUGUGAAGGUCCCCUGCCGAGGCAGGGCUGGCCACCGAGGCCCUGCGGGCGCGGCCUCUGGCCCCAGGGAGGCUCGCUGCCGCCCCCGCGGGCUCCCUCCAGGCAGGCUGGCCUUCCUGCUCCCCGAUGACCCACCUUCUCGCCCCCAGCCUUCGCCCCUCCCACACAAGCCCCUCUCUGGGGCUUGAGACCUUCUGAGCCUGGAGCCCAGGGCUGCACACUUCUUGGCGUCCUCCAAGGGGGGCCUCCGUGUCCCCGGGGGUCCUGGCUGAGUGACAUCGUGCACUGGGCACGCCCCGCCAC